rnacentral:hammerhead_ribozyme from 1 species
GCACUGUUGAGGAGUCCCAGAAUAGGACAAAACAGCUGUCCAGUGC